rnacentral:rRNA from 1 species
UACGAAGGGGGCUAGCGUUGCUCGGAAUUACUGGGCGUAAAGCGCACGUAGGCGGCUUCUUAAGUCGGUGGUGAAAUCCUGGAGCUCAACUCCAGAACUGCCUUCGAUACUGGGAAGCUCGAGUCCGGGAGAGGUGAGUGGAACUGCGAGUGUAGAGGUGAAAUUCGUAGAUAUUCGCAAGAACACCAGUGGCGAAGGCGGCUCACUGGACCGGUAUUGACGCUGAGGUGCGAAAGCGUGGGGAGCAAACAGG